AUUGAACGCUGGCGGCAGGCCUAACACAUGCAAGUCGAGCGGAUGAAGGGAGCUUGCUCCUGGAUUCAGCGGCGGACGGGUGAGUAAUGCCUAGGAAUCUGCCUGGUAGUGGGGGAUAACGUCCGGAAACGGGCGCUAAUACCGCAUACGUCCUGAGGGAGAAAGUGGGGGAUCUUCGGACCUCACGCUAUCAGAUGAGCCUAGGUCGGAUUAGCUAGUUGGUGGGGUAAAGGCCUACCAAGGCGACGAUCCGUAACUGGUCUGAGAGGAUGAUCAGUCACACUGGAACUGAGACACGGUCCAGACUCCUACGGGAGGCAGCAGUGGGGAAUAUUGGACAAUGGGCGAAAGCCUGAUCCAGCAAUGCCGCGUGUGUGAAGAAGGUCUUCGGAUUGUAAAGCACUUUAAGUUGGGAGGAAGGUCAGUAAGUUAAUACCUUGCUGUUUUGACGUUACCAACAGAAUAAGCACCGGCUAACUUCGUG
rnacentral:rRNA from 1 species